GGGAGGAUAGGUCCAUUCUCCCCCCAUUUACACCUUUCAGGCCCCAUUUCAGCACCACCAUUCCAAGAUGGAUUUCCUUUCCGAGAUUGUCAGUACUGUUCCUUUUGUGACCAGAGAGGGUUCUAUUGAGUAACACACGCACCUGCUCUGCUCACAAUAUGGUGUCUGCCUAAGGUGCUUCUAGUCCCAACUGGGCCGAGGAAUGGGAUAACCUGUCAUAUGCUUUAUGACACGUAAGAAUUACAGCUAUAAUCUACACUCUGAGAUGGAGUUUCUACCAUUUAUCCUAGAGAAGGAAUCUUCAGGCAUUUUGAUAAAUUCUUCAGUGAUGAAGAUGCACAGAUAUCAUGGAAGUAUGUGGCUACCAUGUUGAUUGAUAGAUAUCUCUCUGAAAAUUCUCCGGAAAUGCUUCCAGGAAAGAAUGAAAGUGUUUCAUCUGUGCAAGGCAUUCUGAAACAGCCGUGUUAAGGGUGAACUCUGUGGCCUGUUCAGUCUAUUUAGCAAGCUCUGAGAUGUGAACAAGUACUGUGGAAUGACAUGGGUUCAGGAGCAGCUGGCAAGAGUGAGGAGAAGAAGACGUUUGUAAAUAAUUAAAUGAAAAGUGAAAUUAAAAGGUCAUGUAUAA